UGUUGCUGCAUCAAUGGCUAGCUUUUGAAAUCAUCAUGUGUGAUCUAUAAAACUCAAGUUUGAGGUUGUAAGUUAUGAAACUGAGAAAGAGAGAGAGGGGACUGACUUUUAUAUAUAUAUAUAUAUAUAUAUCUGCUUGUGGUAAUUUAUGUGCUCUUUUAGUAUUAAUCGGAAUUCACAAUGAGUCUCUCAAUCAAGUCUUUGAGAAUAAGAUGUGUUAUGAUGCCCAAAGUUUCAUUUACGUAACCCAUUAAAACUUAUUACUCUACUUUUUGGGUGAAGGCUAUGUAGUCUAUAGAAUCCUCUGCGGAGUACUGGACACUGCAUAUAGAUUGUAUGCACUUGUUUCGUGAUGUCUACUUAAUCAUUAUUUAUGAAGCUAAUUCAGCCGGGUUGUAGAUUGAUCGACUGAUUGCAAAUAGUGUAGAAGGCUAAAUUUGAUGCAUGGUGGGAUGUAUCAAAUAUUUUUUUGUAUGUAUAUUUUUAUUUUCUAUUUAUAUAAAUAUGACAUUUAUAAACAAUCAAAAUUAAUGAAAACUAACUCUAAUUUACUUUUAAAAAAAAGCAAAUUUAAGUCAUCCAGAGAUUAUGUUUGUGUUGUGUUAUGGUCCAAGGAUCAUUAAAAGUCAAUCUAUCAAAUUUACAUUUGUGGUUAGAUAUCGAUGGUUUGAUAUGAGUUCUGUACUUUUUUUCUUUUAAAUUCAACCCCUAUGUUUUCAAAUAUUAUAAUAUGACCUCAAAAUCAGGUUUAAAAAAUUAAAAUAAGACACUGCCAUGUCCAUGUGUCCCCUGAAAAAAAAUGAUAACCAAAAAAAUAAUCACGCCACAUAGCAUGUCACAUACAUGUCCCCAUUGUGUGUGUCCUAUACACGUCUAACAUGGCUACAACACCUAUUUUGAUGUGUCGGUGCUUCUUAGUAAACAAUGAACCAAAUGUUACCCUGUUGCUUUAUUUACUAGCCCUAGCAAUAGGGAAUUAUCUUAUCUAAUUUUUCUGCACUGAAAAUUUUGCUGUGUGGGGAGAUAAAGAGGUGAAGGGAACUAUGCUUGUGGCAUCCAGCAACAUGCUGAUUCUGUCAAAUUGUGCUUGACCUCAUGUUCUCCCUCACAAUGUUUUUCACGUCAGCCUACAUGUCACUAUUCCCUGUAGGAAGGAAAAUGGGUUACUUUUUGUCCCCAAUGGCCAGGCUCAGAAUGCACAGGCACAAAUGUUUUCUGAUCCAAACAUGGCCAUGGAUAUGAUGAAGAAAAAUCUUUCAAUGAUCAUACCCCAGACUCUUACUUUUGCCUGGGUUAACUUUUUCUUUUCCGGAUUUGUAGCAGUUCAG